AACGCGAAGAACCUUACCAGGACUUGACAUCCUUUGACCACUCUAGAGAUAGAGCUUUCCCCUUCGGGGGACAAAGUGACAGGUGGUGCAUGGUUGUCGUCAGCUCGUGUCGUGAGAUGUUGGGUUAAGUCCCGCAACGAGCGCAACCCUUAAUCUUAGUUGCCAGCAUUCAGUUGGGCACUCUAAGGUGACUGCCGGUGACAAACCGGAGGAAGGUGGGGAUGACGUCAAAUCAUCAUGCCCCUUAUGUCCUGGGCUACACACGUGCUACAAUGGACGGUACAAAGGGUUGCGAAGCCGCGAGGUGGAGCCAAUCCCAAAAAGCCGGUCUCAGUUCGGAUUGGGGUCUGCAACUCGACCCCAUGAAGUCGGAGUCGCUAGUAAUCGCAGAUCAGCAACGCUGCGGUGAAUACGUUCCCGGGCCUUGUACACACCG
rnacentral:rRNA from 1 species